GCAGACACAUUCCAGCCAAUCAGCAGCAGACCCUCCCUCCCAGACCCUCCCACCUCCUGGACAGCAUCCAUUUUACAUUCAUUGUGAAGCUGCAUUCUUAGUGAGCUGUCCAGGAGGUGGGAGGGUCUGGGAGGGAGUGUCUGCUGCUGAUUGGCUGGAAUGUUUCUG